AAGAAUAUCAUGUACGAGAGAAGAGGUUGAGAUCAUCAAGGUGAAGAGAACAAAAACAUGGCUAGUUUGUUCUCUAACAGGAGGGCUUCCAAAUCUUCUGUUAGAAUUGAGGGUAUCCAUACACCUCUCAAUAAGAUUUACUCUAGAAGAUCUUCGUUGCACCAUCCCAUAGACUAGACGAGUAAGGUGUCAGGUAUCAGACUUGUUCUCGAGACACAUCAUCGACUAUCAUAUUGCCAUCUUCAUGACCACAUAGCACCCUACAUCCACAAGGUUAAAAAAAAUGAAGACCACACAAAUGAAUUCAUCAUUAACAUUCACAUCAUACUCAUAUUAUACAUUUGAGAUUGAAUUAAAUCAUACAUCCAAUACAUACAACAACACAACUCAGCACUCAUGGCAUCAUUGACAUUCACCAUACUAACAAAUUCAACAAGCGAC
rnacentral:lncRNA from 1 species